ensembl:lncRNA
UCCUUUGGAGGAUGAGUAAAAUUGAUGGCUUUUCAAAAUGAUGCGGUCAUAUGACCAAUUUUUGUAAUGAUAUGACAUGUGUGUUUAUUUUCGCUACCCACCAACUUAAUGUUUCGUAAUUUAUGCCGUCUAUUAGUUUUAUAAAAAACAACCCCAAAAUCUGUGAUGCAUUGCAUUGCAAGCGUCUACACCAUCCAAGAAUCAAGGCAAUGUAGAUAUUGUGUCCUUUAAACUGCAUUAUGAUUAGAAACAAAGACAUGCCCUUGUAACACUGCAACAAUAGAAAUAAUCUGAUAUACGAAUUUGAUCAAUCAAAUUGAAUUAAACUAACAUUUCUGCUGUAGUUCUGUUUGAUGGGCGGUUUCUGUUGGUUUUGUGUGUCAACCAAAAAUAAGAACACACAUUGGAGAUUGUUACAAUCAUUCAUGACCGAGAGAAGUUAAAUAUUACAUGGCCCUGGUCAAUUUGCAUUAGAUUACAAAACAAAAAACAGAACGAUAACAAAAAUCUCAAAUAUUUAAUUAGUGCUCACUUCAUCAGAACCGUUGGGCAGGGCAACAGUAAGCCUGGCUUAGUUAAAGCACACAUGGAUUUAGAUAAAAAGGUGUGACCUUACUCCUUUUUUCCCUGGGACCUAAUCAACAUGGGCUAGAGAUUAGUUUAUUUUGAAAAAGGUGCGCGGGCCUAAAUGAUAAGAGUUCUUCUAGUAUAAAUGUAUGAGAAGAGCAUAUUAUUCUUUUGAAUGGCAUAAAUACAAAGUCAUCCUGCGGCCCGAGGAGCUCGUUUUUCUGCGCCUCCUGAAACUGGCCAAGGUUCCAUUGAGCGAGUUUGACUUUCCUUGGAGUAAGAUCAUGUCAUAGAGAGACAUAAAAUUGCUCAAUAUCUUCCAUAAAAGCCACUAAAAAAGAAAAUAUAGUUAAUUAUAUUAUAUAGUUUUCAGUAUGCACUAUAGUCAGUUAACUCCCAGUACUGUUGUGAAGGACGUCACUUACCGGCCAAGAAAGUCAGGGAGAACGCAUGACCUGACUGACCUGUGUGGGUUGAAGGUCAGUAAGGUUUGCAUAUAGACCACAGAAUUUGCCCGUUUUGGAGGGAUGGACCAUGACUGUCUCACUUUGACCUCUGAUUUAUCUGCGUUUCAACCAAAUGACAGGGAGACCCCUGAUAUCAAGAUGUGAGGGAGGGACACAAAACCCCAGUUUACACGUUGUCACAGGGGACACAAGAUAAGCAAGGUUCCAAACUCAGUCGCUGUCCCCUAAGAAUGUGGAGAUUGGGAGGCUGCCCCUGAGCUCACAGACAUCCGGUCCGUCAGAACAACCCAGGAACCAUUUGUCGGAUCACGCUGCUGCCCAGGACUGCGGCCUGCCUCCUCCUCACACAGCACGACAUGAGAGGACGACAGCAGCUUCUCUUAGCUCAGUCAGCGCAGUGUACAUUGCUCAUUCGUCUAACAUAAGCAACACUCCCACACUGAUGGUAAGGUACACAGUCGUCCCUAUCAAACAUGUUUGUAUUGUGGCACAGCCUUCUGAACAACGAGUGGCUAAAGAAACACAUUGGAUCAGAGAAGUGAAUGAGUGGGAACUGGAUUCAACAAACUCUUUUGGGCUGCUGCGGCCAAGACACUGGAGGGAUAAUGGUAAAAAAUACAAACCAUUGAAAGUGGAUCCGAUUCUCAUUGAAGCAUGGAUCCCCAUUAUUCACUUACCACAAGGGUAUUCCCCCUCCACUGUCCUACUGGUAUUGCUUUUGCCUGGCAGGCUGCAGAAUACCUUCCCAGUGCCAGACAUGAGUCCAUCUGCCCUGCCCCAGCACACACUGCCCUCAUGCACAUAAGCGUGUAAAUAUCAAUCUCCACAACAGCAUAUCACAGACCAUGUUGUUGUGUGGAGACUGCCAGCACUCUUUGCAUUCUCUCUCACAGACCUCAGUGCCAUGAUGUCGAGGAGCUGCUACUACUGCGCAGGAGUUCUGCAAAGCGUUUUAUAUACACCUGUGGCACAGUUUGCAUUCUUUUCCACAUACCUGAAGCAUUAAAGGUUUUUAAGGCUGCAAAAAUUGUAUGACCAUUUUCUUUAACCCGAACUCACUUUUGUUUUCCAAGAGUGAUGUAGCCAACGGCAGCACAUCACUCGACACACCCCAUAACGGCGGGGCAAGGCCGUCCUUCAGUGAACAGUUUUCCAUGAGUCUGCAUGGCACUUCCCCUUUAUUGCAGUUGUAAUUGUCUCAUGGUAGAAUGCAGCAUGCAGCAACCAAUCGGAGACCACCACAAACUGGCCAUCACUUGGGACGUAUUCAAGUUCCCACCUGCAGUGUUGAAGACUGUCAGCUGUAAUCUUACAUCAGUGUGAAUCAGGGGUUAUGGAAAGGCCUUAAACAGACGAUCAACCUGGGUACGGGUGGGAAAAAAGAAAAAAAAACACCUUUGAGUGACGUGGUGGUUCACUCAAGUGUUAAUUAGACUUCCCAAAGUCCUCACUGAGACCUCAACUGGUUGUCAGGUUGUGGUAUUUUCCUUUGGAGCCUGUAGAGCCUCAUUGAUGUGGUGGCUCACAGCCACGCUGAAUCAGCCCUACACACCAAAACCUUGUAAAAGACUGUGACAUUACAUUCAGAGGAUGGAGGACAGGCUUAGCUACAGGUCUUGUGGUGACUAUUGGCUGGACAGGGCACAUGCAAAAGGAUUUAUUGGUGUCUCGUUUAAAGAUUAUAUUACAAUAUUCAUUGUAUUUUUCAUUCGUCAACACAACUACUUUGCAAAUGCCACUGCAACAUAGUAGCCACACUUGGCUUAUCUGCAAACGAUGGAAUAUGAAUACAUAGCCUCGUCAGAUGAAACUUGACAUUCCGUUAUAUAUGUGUUCAACUCCAUUACUGUCAUUGAAAGAAUUGGGAUUGAAUAGAUUUGACCAUCUGCUGGCAAAGUCACUUCAUCUAGUUUCUGCUUACAACCAGUACAGCAGUUGCUGUCCCUGUCAAAGAGCCGGUAAACCAGCUCUGCCCUCGUCUUAAUGGGAGGGGAACCACGUGUAAUUACAGAAAUACCUUACCUGACCAUUAACGUGAAAAUAAAAGAGACUCAGAUCAGCAUUUCUUCAUCAAUGACUGGCAUUUACUUACAUAUAUCCUGGACGAUAACCACAUAACAUACAAUGACGACCUGAGUGUAAGAUGGAGCUGUGUCGUCAUUAUGGUUGUUUUUCUAGGACACACUAUGUCAGACCAAACGGGGCCCCUUUGCUGACUGCAAGCAGACACAUGUUGCCUAUAAGCCAUGGUUAAGUUUAGUGUGGGUAGUGCUGUCCUCCCCAAGUCCAUCUGCACAGCACAGACAAGAUUUUCAUAUCUCUCCUCACCUGGAUCUGGAUUUUGCUCAGCUAAAAAGAAAAAUACAGUUAUUUUACUUCCAACAACAUGAAAAAACGUAGAUUCCGUUUAGAUAAUCACCAUCUUUGUGGCAAACCAUGAUUCCAUCUGAAACUCUACAACUGUGCUGUGCGGCAGGCAAGAGGAGACCCGCAGGUACGGGUAACAGUACACUUAUGCAGUAGUUUGCUCUCUGAGGCAUGGAAAUAGAAACAACAUGAAAAUAAAUCCCAGUAUUUUUAGGGGGAAUGUGCAUACUGAAAAGGUAACAUGAAUUUUGCUAACAGAAAUAGAGCGAUGGAUAGAUUUGAACGACAAAGCAGUUUGUUUACUUCCCGGCUUAAACCUUCUCUCAUCCUCUACGCAACGACGCGGCUCCGCGGCCGGUCCCAAGCAGGAUGAUAUCGUUCCACACAUGAUUAAUUGAAAUUGUAAUGAAGUCACAUUUGUCGCUGCACAAUGUUUCAUUAUCUAACAACCUCCAUGAUAUGAGGCUCAACAACAUAACGAUCAGAGGCCGUGGUGCCAUUGGAUAGCUGCAUGUUAACUGAGGGAUUAUCAUCGUAGUUCCCACAAAGACCACACAUCUUGAACAGAAUGUGCUUUCACAGGUCUGAUAUAAGCCCAACGGACUGUGGGGUCUUGAUGCUUAGUCAUCCAUCUUUCUGGCAGGUUUUCGUAAACGGCAUUUACAUCAGUGGAAUAAUUUAUGUUAAAAAAACACAUUAUAGAGACUAUCCAGCAGUUUGUGUACACUGUGAUUUUAUUUUUUUUACAUUGCAUUCUAAGAGAAAAAUAAUCAAUCAUUCUGAAAGCUGUGAAAUAAUUACCUUAAUAUUUCCAGAAAAAGCUGUUGAUGUCUUAACAUUUGAUUGACUUGCAAGUAGAUGUGCCUGCCCUCACUGUGGUCGCCCUGUGCAGCUAUCAAGACAGGCUCCGCAUCCACUUUAUUGAGGCCCAUCUGCACCAAGGUGUAGUUACAUGAACCAUGAAAUUCAAACGCCUGUCCAUUAAACGCGGUGCUUUGGGAACCAUCAACAGAGCAGUGUGCCACUUUGAGUCCCGGGUGGCAACCUUGAACUCCUCUAGUAAGCUUCCACUCCUUAUUCCACAGGAGUUAUUACGGGAAGUCAUGUGUGCCGCAGCAUGACACAAACAGCUUUUCUCACAUGCAGACGCCUCGUCUCCUGCCUCGAGGUUUUCUCCACUGUGAAAGCGGUCCCGGUUUUCUGCAUAGACCCCAACGCCGUCACUGUGAACUAAACCUGCUUCACAGAGGCUGGUCUCUCUGACGCUGCUGUGUUAAUCCGCCAGCCGAGGCAGAGGUGGACCUCAUGUUGUUCAGAACUCCUGUUGUAACCCCUAUUGGAGAGAGUGACAAAUCUGUGGGGAUACAGAGAGACAUCAGUCACUAAGGACAGGAAGACAUGAACAUGUUGGAAAGGUUAAGGUUGACCAGUGAUGCAUUGGUACCAUCUAGUGGUCCAAGAGCACCGGGAUUGUUGUGGCCUCAAUAGUGCUUUGAGUCACAUCGCAACAUCAUACACUUUCAACACUUUCAAUAAAUAACAAUGGAACAAACAUUAAGUUCUUACUGGCUGAUCGGAUAUCAUGUCCUCCAUUUCCCUUUUCUCAUGUUGCGUUUUCAAUAUCAACAAUCUAAACAUGAUUAAGUGUUGUUUGCUCUCACAGGCAUCUGCAAACUCUCCAUAUUCCAUUUGGUGUGCAAUGAUGCUGAACUGCAAACCGCAGAGUUACAAGUGUAGAGGAUAUUAAUUGAAUUCACUGGCACUUCAGAGUUGGGAGCACAUUAACACUUACAGCAGAAUGCAGGCCUCCUGCAUGCAUAAAGGCAGGAUACUCUGCCAGGGAGGGACACAGUACAGGCUGGAGACCUCCAUGGAGACACAGGUCACUGACGCCAUGUUUGUAGAAGCUGGAGGAGUCCACUUCUCCAUGACGCUGUGUCAAUGGUCCAUUGACUUCAAAAAGUCUUCCCCGAGCCUAAAGGGUCAGAGAAGAGGGACAGGCGCUCAGAUGAACAUUUUUGACAACUCCCUUCCUGACAGCCCUUCACACACCGAGCAUUCUGUCCACUUCUUCAAGCUUUCACAAGAUGUUGGGGUCUGAGAUCCUUCUUUGGACUAUUUGCUGUGAGGUCAUGCUGGAUCCGCGUUGAAUUUAACACACAGUGUGUGAAUUUAACACACACACACACACACACACGGUGUUAGCAUAUUUGUUUAAGGGACUACUUCCAAAUAUGCCCUUUUUGCUGGGACUCAAUUCAAAGCCCAUAUUGGUGUAGAUGUAAGUGUGCAGCACCAAAGAGAAGACCAGUGCAGUAGGGCUAUAAUGAAAGGGAAUACCAUCAUCCUGUAGGGGGGGCCAAAAUUGCAUUUGAAAAUCCGCACAAGGCAGCACGAUUUUAAAAGCCCUAUGGGGCAAAUUUGUGAUUUAGGCCAAAGCCAAAUAAAGUGAAUUGAUCGAAUUGAAAAAUAACUACUAUGUGUGGCGUGACCUUCAGAGUGAAUUCAUUCAAGUCAACAAGAAGAUUGUGAAACUAACGUCUAUGCUCUCAGGGUGAGAGGGUGCAGGCCGCUUAAAACAAUAUGGGUCCACCCAAGUGGUAGAGCAGGUUGAGCCACGGGACUCAUAAUGACUAUUGGACAGAAAAUGGCUGGUUGGAGAGGAGGAUAAUGGUCAACAGUAGGGAGGAGAAAACUGCACACACAAAGACACGGACAACUGUAAUCAAUGAAUUGCAAGGUGCAUUGGUACCUAUGAUUGAUAAGCAUUGCAUUAAAAAAAAACAAAAAUAACUAUUAAAAGGGGCAGGAGUUUAACCUCCUUUCAGUGAAAUCACAGGGAAGUGAGAAAACACUGGCGUGAAUUUGCAUAACAACCACGUCAGAAAGGUAAAGUGACACAAAAUUUGAUAAUGCAAGAUCAAUGCAUGCUGCAGCUCAGCGACAGUUAGCCUUUGAGGAACUGUCAGCCAACCCAGAAGAACCAGCUGAGCAAACCGUUCUUUGCACAGCCCCAAGUGUUGUUAAGGGUGCAGCUUUCUCGCUCGGGGGAAAAUGCUGACUCGCAGAACAUGGUGGAAACACUCCCCAGCUCCCGGUUGCUCUACAAAGAAAAGUGAGGCACUGUUAAUAUGUGUCACCCAACCGUUCUUUAAAACACAGAGCAAACAAACAACCCAGGAAAAGGCUGGUGACAUUUUGUGGUUAUUCAUGUCACAGGCACCAGUGGGGCGGAUGUACGUUUGGCCUUCUGAGGUUCUCGCUACGCCGGACUUUUACAGCAUCGAAAACUGAAAACUGAAUGUCCAGCGGCAUUCUCUGCGCUGAAGUCAUGGUUAACCACCAGCACAGCUGAUAAGUGAGAAAACCGACAGCGAAACAAGUGAAAGAUGUAAAAUAGUGCAUUUUAUGUGUGAGUGUGUGUGUGUUUGUGUGUGUGUGUGUGUGUGAGAGGGAGAUAGAGAACACCUGCAGUAUUUUUUGCCCAUUUAAAAAAAUCAAAAUUCUUAAACUUCUCUACAUAUCGCCACAUAAACUUUCCAAAUAUGUCUGUUUGAGUUUAAAGAGGAAAAUUUUAAGGGUCAAUCACCUUUAAUGAUCAAAGCUUACUGUAGUACUCUGUUGUAGUUUCUGUAACUAAGGAACCAACAUGCAACCAACAACAACACCGGAACCCACAUCCCCAGCGUGCAUGAAUAGUCAUGUGAUAUUCAUUUUCAGGCUUGCAACUAUGAACGGAUAUCAUUUUGCAAAUGAUGCUCGCCUGCAUGAGUGAAGGUUGUUUCUGUUUAAAAACCGGGCGAGAUUCAGCCUGGAGAUGAUGCUUCCAGUCGCGCUGCGGGGGCCAAAGCAGUUUCUGGAGCACCUCAGAAAAGAAUUCAGGGAUUUAUUCCUUCAAGUGAGUGGAAAGUUACUCUUCUGUACAUUAACCUAUGUGUUUAAAUACAAGAAAAAACAAUGUUAAUUGCCAGCUCUAAAAAGUGUAUGAUUAUUUCCAGUUUGUUCAGUACACUCCCCAUAACAACACUUCCAUUAACACACUUGACACUUACGCAGCUGCAACUGAAAUAAAAAAGAGAAGUACAAAUAGCAUGUGUUACUUUGACACGAAUGAAUACAGUCAUCAAAUACUCAAAACGUAAUGCAAAGUACUCAAACACAAACAAUUCAUAUUUUUCUCACAAAAUGCUGGAUAAAGUUGCGUGUUCAUGUUACUCAGAUAGUGUCCCACAUCUCUGUUGGUGCAAACAAAUCAGGACUUUAAAUCUCCUGUCUGAGAAUUGUGAUGUACCUGCCGUCUCCGAUCACCUAAAUCCAACAUAGGUACAGGCUGGCAGAUACCAUCACCAGAUGGAAGUACUGUUAGAGAUGAGAGACAUUAUACACCGCCGCAUGUGAAGUAAACAAGUCGAUAGGGACUGUCACCAGUAAUGUGGAUUUUAUCUGAGGUCAUAACUGAGAUGACCUUCAUGAUGCCACCUUUCACUCCUUACUGGCGACACUGAAGCUAGGGGAGGGAUAUAAUGUGUAAUAAAAACUUGUUUUUGGUUUGAUUCUAGCAAAUCCACACAAGCAAUGUGUUUGCAGCUGGUGAAGCC